rnacentral:lncRNA from 1 species
GCCAGGUCUUUCCCACUACCCGACACUGCUCUUCUGGCAAAGCCGACAUCAGUGUAGAGGCACGAAUCAGCCUGACACGUGUAGGAAAUGAAGUCGUUUAGAGAGCCUCAGGAUGACACAGCAGGAAGAAAUGAUUCCACUGAGGGUUUUCCAAUGUUAGGGUCCACGGAUAAUCAGCUGGCUUGGGGUUACGUAACUGCCUCCCUGCCAAGAGGCCAGCCUUGGCUGCUCCCCGUGGAAACAUCUAGGGAGACAGCGACCUCCAGGAGACAGCGACCUCCGCGACGCAGCACAGACUGAGCUGGGAAGCUACCAACUUAGCCUGCCUCGGUUUCAUGGAUGCCGGUAGAUGACACGAGACUCCUGUAUCAGAAACAAACGACUCUGUUACAGCACAGCAAGCAGCAGGAGCAUCACCAUAUCUGCAUCAGGUCCCCUUGCCACAGUCCCAUGGUAGUGAAUGCACCAGCCCAGAGGAUUGCCUACACCUGCAGUGGGAUGCAUUACAGAAGAGGAAUCCUGAGCUUAGAGAACCCACAUCUUCCAUAACGUUCAGUAAGCAUGCCUGUCUUUUGCUCUGAAGGAUACGUCCUUCUAUCUUUCAAGGUGGUUUACUAUAUAAACAUCUUUAAAAAGAUGAUCUGGGACAAAGAACAGUUGGUGCCUCUCCUGCAAGACAUGCAGAAAAAUGAGAGACCCAUGGAGAAUUGUCUCCCAACACCUGCCUACAGAAAAUGUUCAGUAAACAGAACUGUGUUGUUAUUAACUACUGAGUUAUUUUAUAUACCUGGAUCUGUCUUUGGGCUUUCUAUUCUCUUUUAUUCUUUCAUUAUACCACUUAGAUGUAGUUAAUCUUAUGUUUCAUGAGAAAAAUCAAUGUCAUUUUAAGAACAUUACUUUGAUAUCAAUGCUGAAUGGAUGACUAAUUUAAAUAAAGUUGUGUAUAGCAUAGUUGUUCUAGUAUUUGUCAAGGAGGAAAAAUUGGUUCACAAAGAAGCCACUGUCCACUUCAUUUCGUGCUCCAAACACCUACCAAUGAUAGACAGAACGUCUUUUAACAGUGGAAGCUGGAGAAUCUGCCUUCCAGGAAUUCCUUGAAGCUGGGCUCCACGCAUGUGGCCUCAUCUCUGCCAAUCAGAGGAGUCCCCGUG